rnacentral:lncRNA from 1 species
UCUUGUUCCUCUAUAGCAGGGGGACUCCUAUGUAUACUAGUAUCUAAUUUGCUUUGUGUGAGAACAUUGUCUCAUUGCCCGUGCACAUCCCUGGAGAUGGACAUGGUGAAGCAUACCUCAAGAACCUGAUUGAUUAUGCCAUUAUGCUGUCUUAUGACAUCAGUAAACUUAAUGGAGAGAUGCACAGGUUAUUUGUAAGUACAUUGCUUACCUAUAGGCUCUUCCCAAAAAGAAUGUUCCUGUCAAUAACUUUUCUCUCCAUUUCUUUUUUAUAUUUCCAGAUGUUAGAGUUGCACAAGAAUAAGGAGAACAUGUCCAAGAGGCUUGACAGCUGCUGCCUCCUUCCUACCAACACUCUUGAAACAAUACCCUAAGCCCAAAAAUUUCCCAGAAGACUUUUUGAACACAAUACUAAGUCUGAUAGGUACCUGGAAUGGCUCUCUGCAAUACCAAGUGAUGAAACUUAAGGAUAUGGUAGGAACCAAAGAUGAUAUCCUGUCCAUAGCAAAAGAUAUUGAGCCCCAAACCAAAGAGCUUCCAGAACUCAUCAAGUGGAUACUCAACAUG